UAGUAAUUACGUAAAAACCCUUGAGUUUUACUAGUUUCAUUAAAUAUGUUUCCAUUAAACAACGUAACAGUUUGAAGGUCCAAUGAUUUAAUUUGCCGUUCAAGCUACACCCGAUUUUUUCUUACUGAGCCUGAAUCCACUCAUACUAUUUAACCAGAGUUUAGUAUCGACAGAGACAGUGAGUGCCGUGAUUAUUUCAAUGUUUUCUAACUACCUACUCGAUAAACAUAGAAUACUG